AGAGAAGAAGAAAAGGAGCCAGAAAAGGCGGGAAGUUGACAGACAUAGUCCUUAAGAUAAGAUGGAGGAUUAUGCUGUCUUCCAGAUUUUCUAGGAACAGUAGCAGAUGUGGAAGAAGGAAAAUUAGGAGGAGAGGUAUCAGGAUUGAAGGAAGGAAUGGAGGCUGGAUUAGAAGAAGAAGAAGUGGUGGCAGAAGGAGGAGGAGGAGAGGAACAAACAUGUAUCAACAAGUCAGUGUCAGAGAAGGAAGGCUCAAGAGAAGGAACUGAGGGAAAGGAAGAAGGAACAGGAGAUGAAACAUUCUUAAAUGGAAAAGAGGUUUCAUGAAAUACAACAUCCCUGGAAACAAAGUAUUUCUUUGAAGUAAGGUCAUAAAGUUUAUAACCUUUUUUGGCAAAAGGAUAC
rnacentral:lncRNA from 1 species